AACGUAGGUUCCGAGCGUUAUCCGGAUUUACUGGGCGUAAAGCGCGUUCAGGCGGUUGGGCAAGUCGGGCAUGAAAUCUCUGGGCUCAACCUGGAGAGGUUGUCCGAUACUGCCGAACUGGAGGGCAGUAGAGGGUGGUGGAAUUCCGGGUGUAGUGGUGAAAUGCGUAGAGAUCCGGAGGAACACCAGUGGCGAAGGCGGGUCUCUGGACAGUUCCUGACGCUGAGGCACGAAGGUCAGGGGAGCAAACGGG
rnacentral:rRNA from 1 species